GACAGAGGGUGCAAACGUUGCUCGGAAUCACUGGGCGUAAAGCGCGUGUAGGCGGACAAUCAAGUCAGGUGUGAAAUCCCCGGGCUCAACCUGGGAACUGCAUCUGAAACUGGUUGUCUUGAGUGUCGGAGAGGGAAGCGGAAUUCCUGGUGUAGAGGUGAAAUUCGUAGAUAUCAGGAGGAACACCGGUGGCGAAGGCGGCUUCCUGGACGACAACUGACGCUGAGACGCGAAAGUGUGGGUAGCAAACAGG
rnacentral:rRNA from 1 species